GGGAUAGCGAAGUCUGGUUUAACGCGCAGGCCUGCUAUAUCAGAGGACGGCCUCGUGGGUUCAAAUCCCACUCCCA
rnacentral:tRNA from 1 species